CCAAUAGCGUAUAUUAAAGUUGUUGCAGUUAAAAAGCUCGUAGUUGAAUUUCGGGAUCAAUAUAUCGGUCGUGCCAUCGGUACGUACUGGUAUCAUUGGUUUCUCCUUUCUGACGAACCAUGAUGUCAUUAAUUUGGUGUCAUGGGGAAUCAGGACUGUUACUUUGAAAAAAUUAGAGUGUUUAAAGCAGGCUCACGCUUGAAUACAUUAGCAUGGAAUAAUGAAAUAGGACGUUUGAUUCUAUUUUGUUGGUUUCUAGGAUUGACGUAAUGAUUAAUAGGGAUAGUUGGGGGCAUUAGUAUUCAAUUGUCAGAGGUGAAAUUCUUGGAUUUAUUGAAGACUAACUACUGCGAAAGCAUUUGCCAAGGAUGUUUUCAUUAAUCAAGAACGAAAGUUAGGGGAUCGAAGACGAUCAGAUACCGUCGUAGUCUUAACCAUAAACUAUGCCGACUAGGGAUCGGAUGAUGUUAAUUUUUUAAUGACUCAUUCGGCGCCUUACG
rnacentral:rRNA from 1 species